rnacentral:snoRNA from 1 species
CAAUGCCAUUUGGUAUCUGAUGCACAGUCUUUUUUGGCUGUGUGUCUCGAAACGUGGCAAAAAACUAGGGGGAACGGAUCUUGCGACACUGGUCACUCAUUUAUGAGCUUCCAGUUACUAUAUGCCCGUUUACAUUA